rfam:Triticum aestivum genome assembly, contig: Triticum_aestivum_CS42_TGACv1_scaffold_227773_3B
AUACUAUUCCCUCCAUCCGAAAAUACUUGUCGCGAAAAUGAAUACAAAUGGAUGCAUCUAAAAUUAAAAUACAUCUAGAUACAUUCAUUCCUCGGACAAGUAUUUCCGGACGAAGGAAGUACAUA